GUGGUAACAUUCACAUUAAGAAUGGUGCGGCUAUGUAUUAUCUAACAUAGAAAUUCAUUCCACACAGAAAAAGCGUGAUAUCGCAUGAGCGAUUUUAGCGCCUCCCAUUUUAUUGAGGGAAGCGUGAACUGGAAAUAAUGUGACAAUGAAGGAGAUACCCAUGCAGGUCAGCAGAAGGCAGUUCUUUAAG
rnacentral:sRNA from 18 species